rnacentral:lncRNA from 1 species
GAGGAGAUUGUUCCCAGGACACCAGGUUCAUGGCUGAUUAACAGAGGAAGGGAAAGAUGAAAUCCACCGACUUAUCUGCUGUAAUCUCACUAGAUCUUUGAAAGGUCCUAGGAUUGGGACAGGCACUCAACCACAACUCUCCCUGCUGUCUGGUUAGAGCUAAAUAAACUUCUCACAACAUUGGCUCCACUCUUGAACCCUCCGUGGGACUUUUCUGAACCUAGUCUCCAUCCCCUGAGCACCUUGACUUCAUGAUCCUAUGCCCAUUGAGACUUCUUUCACCUUCAUGUCUUUGCCACACCAGGUAAGAGAAUUAAUAUUCUCAAAUAUACAAAGCAAGGCUGUGACUCAGUUCACUGGUCAUAGUCUCCUCUCCUCUUUCAUUUAUCAGCAACCCC